AUGAGCCAGAAAAGUUAUAUUGCAAAAAACCCCACUGUAUACAAGCACCGUGAAAUACGUGAGUAUCCGGAUAGUGGCUGUUACAUCUAUGAGCAAGAUACUAGCUUGUUGGGGCCUUCAGGAUUUUUUAGUUGGAGGCGGAUAAACAACCUUGGUUCACACUCUCUGUUUCUCGGACACAAUUAUUCGAUUAACCAGGAGAUCACCAUUGGCAAGGACCUUGAUGGAAGAGAGGCUCUGUUUGCUAUGGAAAAUUGUGUCUACACGGCGAGCCCUAGGAGUUCGGGAGCAAACUCCCCUGAUUGUCAACGAUACAGCCUGCAGCCAAAAGAAGGUGAGAAUGACAAAGGCAUCUAG
rnacentral:rRNA from 1 species